GGAGCUCCCGGAUCCGUCGUCCUUCCCCCCUCGCUGUCGGGACUCACCCCCCUCAUCCUCAGCUCGGGAAUGAGGCCCCCCCAGGCCCCCCCUCAUCCCGAAAAAUUCCGGAGGCUGAGGGAGAGGGUGGCCCAGACUUUGGGAUCCUUGGAUCCCGCCUGGAUCCGGAGGUGCCACCGGGACCUGGAGCCGGGAAAGGUCGGGAGGAGGCGGAGACGGGAGGGAGAGGAGGGGGAGGAGGAAGAGGAGGAGGAAGAGGAGGAGGAAGAGGGCGGGAAGAUGUCGGGAAACGUCCUGGAAUGCUUGGAAAACAUCCCGGGAGGGGAAGAGGAGGAGGAAAAGGAGGUGGGAGCUCCAAAGAGAAGUGGGAAGACUCCAAAAUCCUUGGAAAAUCACCUGGAAGAGGAAGAGGAGGAGGAAAAGGAGGUGGGAGAUCCAAGGAAGAGCAGGAAAACACCAAAAUCCUUGGAAAACGAGCUGGAAGAGGAAGAGGAAGACGAGGAAAAGGAGGUGGGAGAUCCAAGAAAGAGAAGGAAAACUCCAAAAUCCUUGGAAAACCUUCCAGAAGAGAAGGAAAAAGAGGUGGGAGCUCCAAAGAAGAGGAGGAAGCUUCAGAAAUCCUUGGAAAACGACCUGGAAGAGGAAGAGGAAGGGAAAGGAAAGCAGGUGGGAGCUCUGAGGAAGAGCAGGAAAACUCCAAAAUCCUUGGAAAAUCACCCAGAAGAGGAAGAGGAAGACGAGGAAAAGGAGGUGGGAGAUCCAAAGAGAAGUGGGAAGACUCCAAAAUCCUUGGAAAAGCACCUGGAAGAGGAAGAGGAGGAGAAGGAAAAGCAGGUGGGAGCUCCAAAGAGAGGUGGGAAGACUCCAAAAUCCUUGGAAAAGCACCUGGAAGAGGAAGAGGAGGAGGAGGAAAAGCAGGUGGGAGCUCCGAGGAAGAGCAGGAAGACUCCAAAAUCCUUGGAAAACCACCUGGAAGAAGAAGAGGAGGAAAAGGGAAAGGGGGUGGGAGAUCCAAGGAAGAGCAGGAAAACACCAAAAUCCUUGGAAAACCUUCCAGAAGAGAAGGAAAAGGAGGUGGGAGCUCCGAAGAAGAGGAGGAAGCUUCAGAAAUCCUUGGAAAAUCUUCUGGAAGAGGAAGAGGAGGAUGAGGAAAAGCACUUGGGAGCUCUGAGGAAGAGGAGGAAGCUGCAGGAAUCCUUGGAAAACCUUCUGGAAGAGGAAGAGGAAGAGCAGGAAAAGCAGGUGGGAGCUCCGAGGAAAAGCAGGAAAGCUCCAAGGAAGAGCAGGAAAAGUCCAAAAUCCUUGGAAAAUCUUCUGGAAGGGGAAGAGGAGGAGCAGGAAAAGCAGGUGGGAGCUCUGAGGAAGAGCAGGAAAACUCCAAAAUCCUUGGAAAACUUCCUGGAAGAGGAAGAGGAGGAGAAGGAAAAGCCCAAACCCGCCCCCAGAACCAGGUCAUUCCUGACUUUUCCGGGAUUGGGAUGUGGGGAUUCCCAGAA
rnacentral:lncRNA from 1 species